CCUACGGGGUGCAGCAGUGAGGAAUAUUGGUCAAUGGACGAGAGUCUGAACCAGCCAAGUAGCGUGAAGGAUGACUGCUCUCUGGGUUGUAAACUUCUUUUAUAUGGGAAUAAAACGUUCCACGUGUGGGAUUUUGUAUGUACCAUAUGAAUAAGGAUCGGCUAAUUCCGUGCCAGCAGCCGCGGUAAUCCGGAGUAUCCGGGCGUUAUCCGGAUUUAUUGGGUUUAAAGGGAGCGUAGAUGGCUUGUUAAGUCAGUUGUGAAAGUUUGCGGCUCAACCGUAAAAUUGCAGUUGAAACUGGCAGUCUGGAGUACAGGAGAGGUAGGCGGAAGUCGUGGUGUAGCGGUGAAAUGCUUAGAUAUCACGAAGAACUCCGAUUGCGAAGGCAGCUCACUGGACUGCAACUGACACUGAGGCUCGAAAGUGUGGGUAUCAAACAGGAUUAGAUACCCUAGUAGUC
rnacentral:rRNA from 1 species